rnacentral:rRNA from 1 species
UGGGGAAUAUUGCACAAUGGGGGGAAACCCUGAUGCAGCGACGCCGCGUGAAGGAAGACGUAUUUCGGUAUGUAAACUUCUAUCAGCAAGGAAGAUGAUGACGGUACUUGACUAAGAAGCCCCGGCUAACUACGUGCC